rnacentral:rRNA from 1 species
UUCCAGACUCCUACGGGAGGCAGCAGUGAGGAAUAUUGGUCAAUGGCCGAGAGGCUGAACCAGCCAAGUCGCGUGAGGGAAGAAUGUCCUAUGGAUUGUAAACCUCUUUUGUCAGGGAGCAAAGUCACCCACGUGUGGGUGUUGGAGAGUACCUGAAGAAAAAGCAUCGGCUAACUCCGUGCCAGCAGCCGCGGUAAUACGGAGGAUGCGAGCGUUAUCCGGAUUUAUUGGGUUUAAAGGGUGCGUAGGCGGGCUGUUAAGUCAGCGGUCAAAUGUCGGGGCUCGACCCCGGCCUGCCGUUGAAACUGGCGGCCUCGAGUGGGCGAGAAGUAUGCGGAAUGCGUGGUGUAGCGGUGAAAUGCAUAGAUAUCACGCAGAACUCCGAUUGCGAAGGCAGCAUACCGGCGCCCUACUGACGCUGAAGCACGAAAGCGUGGGUAUCGAACAGGAUUAGAUACCCCCGUAC